AUUGAACGCUGGCGGCAUGCCUUACACAUGCCAGUCGAACGGUAACGGGCCUUCGGGUGCCGACGAGUGGCGAACGGGUGAGUAAUACAUCGGAACGUGCCCGAUCGUGGGGGAUAACGAGGCGAAAGCUUUGCUAAUACCGCAUACGAUCUACGGAUGAAAGCAGGGGACCGCAAGGCCUUGCGCGGACGGAGCGGCCGAUGGCAGAUUAGGUAGUUGGUGGGAUAAAAGCUUACCAAGCCAACGAUCUGUAGCUGGUCUGAGAGGAUGAUCAGCCACACUGGGACUGAGACACGGCCCAGACUCCUACGGGAGGCAGCAGUGGGGAAUUUUGGACAAUGGGCGCAAGCCUGAUCCAGCCAUGCCGCGUGCAGGAUGAAGGCCUUCGGGUUGUAAACUGCUUUUGUACGGAACGAAAAGCCUUCUUUUAAUACAGGAGGGUCAUGACGGUACCGUAAGAAUAAGCACCGGCUAACUACGUG
rnacentral:rRNA from 1 species